GCCGGUUUAGCUCAGUUGGUAGAGCAACCGCCUUGUAAGCGGUAGGUCGCGGGUUCGACUCCUGCAACCGGCACCA
rnacentral:tRNA from 6 species